rnacentral:lncRNA from 1 species
GACUUCACUUCUUUUGCAGGUGAUCCCAGGAGCUCUGCCUUAACUGACCGUGUGCACAGGUAGGUCUGCCACAGCACUGUCAGCGUGUAUUCUUCUCCAGCUAGAUGGAGUCGACCCCAAAGGAAAAGUUACGAACAGGUGACCUCCACGGUCAGCUGCUCUUCUCCUCUCACGCCCCUUCCAUCUUUUCUCUUCUUGCUUUACGCUUCCCCCCAUGCAGACUCUUCUGGGGGUGAGCUUGACCGAAAAUCAGCAAAUGCAAAUACGCAUGUCGGGGUGACUCUUUGUCUUAUUUUUUUGGCAGAAGAUUUCUUUUUUUCUUUUUACUUUUUGUAAUCAAUAUAGCUUGAAUUAAUAAAUCCAUUUUGUUAGUUAGGUCAGUUCUCAAAAAAGCCGAUAGAACAACCAACAGUUGUUUUCUUUGGAUGUCCUAGUAUGUAUCUUUCCAGGGGCACUGUGAAAGCAGUAAUGCUAUCGCGUAGUCACUGGAAGACCUACUGCCGUUUGAGUUGGAACCUUUGUCUUGGAGGUCUUUCACGUUGUUUCAGGAAUUGCCGUGUUACUGAAAACAUGGUUUGAGAAAGCAAAUACUGCUCAGAUUUAUCUUACGCUCCCCAGAACUCCUCUUCUGGAUUUACUCUUCCUAAUAUUAUUUUUAUACUGACUUUAAAAAUACUGUGCCCAGGAGUUCUUGUCAUGGCUCAGUGGUUAACGAACCAACUAGCAUCCAUGAGGACGCGGGUUCGAUCCCUGGCCUCGCUCAGUGGGGUAAGGAUCCAGCAUUGCCGUGAGCUGUGGUGUAGUUUGCAGACCUGGCUCAGAUCCCGAGUUCCCAGGCUAGUGUUUGAAUUGGAGCUACAGCUGCCGGCCUACACCACAGCCCAGCAGUGUAGGAUCCGAGACAAGUCUGUGACCUGCACCACAGUUCACAGAAACACCGGAUCCUUAACCCACUGAGCGAGACCAAGGGUGGAACCCGUAACGUCAUGGUAACUAGUCGGAUUUGUUUCCACUGAGCCACAAUGGGAACUCUAUUUAUUUUUUUUUUAACACUGGAUUGAUGCUACUGGUACUUGAUGUUAUUUUUUGGAGUAGUGGUUGAGAUAGAGUCAUAGAGCAUUUUCUAAUUGUGGCUCUAGCACUUAUUGUCUUCUCAGCCUUUGGCAACAUACUUCUGUGAUUCUCGCUUGUCUUUUUAUUUAUUGGAGUUCCCGUCGUGGCUCAGUGGUUAAUGAAUCUGACUAGGAACCAUGAGGUUGCAGGUUGGAUCCCUGGCCUCGCUCAGUGGGUUAAGGAUCCAGUGUUGCUAUGAGCUGUAGUGUAGGUCGCAGACAAGGCUCAGAUCUGGCGUUGCUGUGACUGUGGUGUAGGCCGGCAACCUUAGCUCUGAUUCGACCCCUAGCCUGGGAACUUCCAUAUGCUGCAGGUGCAGCCCUAAAAGGAUAAAAG